AGUCUCGAUAAGUUACUUGAACUGCAAAUUCAAGGAAGCAGCUUCAGACGCUGCCGGGGCUU
rnacentral:tRNA from 1 species